CUCCAAGGUGUGCCCAGGUGAGCACUGGUCACCUCCAGGUGGGUACUGGUCACCUCAAGGUGUGCCCAGGUGGGCGCUGGUCACCUGUGUGGUCUCCAGGUGGGCACUGGGCACCUCCUAGGGGGGGUCCAGGUGGGCACUGGUCACCUCAAGGUGUGCCCAGGUGGGCACUGGUCACCUGUGUGGUCUCCAGGUGGGCACUGAGCACCUCCUAGGGGGGGUCCAGGUGGGCACUGGUCACCUCAAGGUGUGCCCAGGUGGGCGCUGGUCACCUGUGUGGUCUCCAGGUGGGCACUGGGCACCUCCUAGGGGGGGUCCAGGUGGGCACUGGGCACUUCCAGGUGGACACUGGUCAUCUCCAAGGUGUCCAGCUGGACACUGGGCACCUCUGACAUGCCCAGGUGGACACUGGGCACCUCCUCCAUUGUGCCCAGGUGGAC